GACGUAGGGGGCCAGCGUUGCUCGGAAUUACUGGGCGUAAAGGGUUCGUAGGCGGUGCGGCAAGUUCGGAGUGAAAUCUCCCGGCUCAACCGGGAGGCUGCUUUGAAAACUGCUGUGCUCGAGUCCGGGAGAGGCGCGUGGAAUUGCAGGUGUAGCGGUGAAAUGCGUAGAUAUCUGCAGGAACACCAGAGGCGAAAGCGGCGCGCUGGACCGGUACUGACGCUGAGGAACGAAAGCUAGGGGAGCAAACAGG
rnacentral:rRNA from 1 species